AUCUCUUCUCAGCCUUUUGGCUAAGAUCAGGUGUAGUAUCUUCUUAUCAGUUUACUAUCUGAUACAUCCUCUAUCCGAGGACAAUACAGUAAAUGGCUUUUGGGAGCAGGGAGUUGGAAUAGGAGCUUGUUCCGUCCACUCCACGCAUUGACCUGGUACUGCAGUACUUCCAGGAACGGAGCACCCCUC
ensembl:snRNA U2 U2 spliceosomal RNA